rnacentral:ncRNA from 2 species
AAGUGCCGCCAGGUUUUGAGUGU